AGGUCAUUACCGAAUUGUCAACACGAGUUGUUGCUGGUCCUCAAGUGGGGGCAUGUGCACGCUCUGUUCACACAUCCACUCACACCUGUGCACCCUCCAUAGUUCUGCAGCCUGGGGGCUCUGUUCCCUGCCGUGGUUCUAUGUAUUUACACACACACAGUGUAGUGAAGUCUCAUGGAAUGCAUACCGCGUUUAACGCAAUAUAAUACAACUUUCAGCAACGGAUCUCUUGGCUCUCGCAUCGAUGAAAAACGCAGCGAAAUGCGAUAAGUAAUGUGAAUUGCAAAAUUCAGUGAAUCAUCAAAUCUUUGAACGCACCUUGCGCCCUUUGGCUAUUCCGAAGGGCAUGCCUGUUUGAGUAUCAUGAACACCUCAACUCUCAUGGCUUUGCCAUGAUGAGCUUGGACUUUGGGGGUCUUGCUGGCCUGUGGUCAGCUCCUCUCAAACAAAUUAUCUUGCCAGUGUUUGGUGGCAUCACAGGUGUGAUAACUAUCUACGCUUGUGGUUUUCCAUCAGGUAACCUUCAGUGACAAAGGUCUGCUGGGGCUCAUAAAUGUCUCUCCUCAGUGAGGACAGCUCUUUGAACGUUUGAUCUCAAAUCAGGUAAGACUACCCGCUGAACUUAA
rnacentral:rRNA from 1 species